CGAGGACACGCUGGCGGCGUGCCUAACACAUGCAAGUCGAACGAAGAAUGUUUUCGGAAUAUUCUUAGUGGCGGACGGGUGAGUAACGCGUGAACAAUCUGCCCCGUACAAAGGGAUAGCCUCGGGAAACCGGGAUUAAAACCAUAUAACACUUAACUGCCGCAUGGUAGUGAAGUCAAAUCGAUUAAGAGGUAUGGGAUGAGUUCGCGUCUGAUUAGCUAGUUGGUGAGGUAAGGGCUCACCAAGGCGACGAUCAGUAGCCGGCCUGAGAGGGUGAACGGCCACACUGGAACUGAGACACGGUCCAGACUCCUACGGGAGGCAGCAGUGGGGAAUAUUGCACAAUGGAGGGAACUCUGAUGCAGCGACGCCGCGUGAGUGAAGAAGGUCUUCGGAUCGUAAAACUCUGUCCUUGGUGAAGAAAAGGACGGUAGCCAAGGAGGAAGCCCCGGCUAACUACGUG
rnacentral:rRNA from 1 species